AGAUGGACCUUGGGCAUUGGGCUCUAAUAAUUAAAUUAUUUAAUUAAUUAUUUUUCGGAUUUACUUAAUUAUUUUUUAAUUAAAUUCGAAUUUAAUUAAUUUUUUUUUUUAUGAAAAGACUCAUCAUUUCAGAUGAAGUCCGAGAGUUCUUUCUGAACACAGAGCAAAGCAUCUCUUUGAAGAGAUGUCUCCCAACAGUCACAUCUCAUUCUCAUACCUGUUGCAAACAGGCAUCCAUCUGCUAUAUAUACAUCUAUCUGCAUAGCAUUUAAAACACAAAAAAAUAAUCAUCUUCAUCUUGUACACUCCUAAACCUUCUUACUGAGAGAACCACACUAAAUUCGCCAUAAGUUAAAUUUUUAGGUGCUGGAAUUUUAACUUGAUCGUUGAAUCCUGGUGAAGCAGACGUCCGUAGAACUACAAGCACAGAGUAGGGACGAAAUUUCUGUUUCAAGGACAUUGCGAUUGUUGACUUAUAUCCAACACACAUUGGAGGAAGUGCUUGAAUUCAACCAUGUGAUUUAUGGCAGAUUUUUGUACACAACUGGGUUUAUAAUUUUUUUUUUUUGGAAGGACUGGGUUUAUAAUUUAUAUAUGCAAUCAGUUUAUUUUU